rnacentral:rRNA from 1 species
UACGGGGGGAGCAAGCGUUGUUCGGAUUUACUGGGCGUAAAGGGCGCGUAGGCGGCCACCGCAAGUCGGUUGUGAAAUCUCCGGGCUUAACCCGGAAAGGUCAAUCGAUACUGCGGGGCUAGAGUGCAGAAGGGGCAACUGGAAUUCUCGGUGUAGCGGUGAAAUGCGUAGAUAUCGAGAGGAACACCUGCGGCGAAGGCGGGUUGCUGGGCUGACACUGACGCUGAAGCGCGAAAGCUCGGGGAGCAAACAGG